UACUAACGAAGCAGAGAUGCAUUAGGUGCCCUUCGGGAAAGUAGAGACAGGUGGUGCAUGGUUGUCGUCAGCUCGUGUCGUGAGAUGUUGGGUUAAGUCCCGCAACGAGCGCAACCCUUGCCUUUAGUUGCCAGCAUUAAGUUGGGCACUCUAGAGGGACUGCCAGGGAUAACCUGGAGGAAGGCCGUCGAAGGUGGGACCGAUAACUGGGGUGAAGUCGUAACAAGGUACC
rnacentral:rRNA from 1 species